rnacentral:rRNA from 1 species
GACGAACGCUGGCGGCGUGCCUAACACAUGCAAGUCGAGCGGUAACAGGAGUAGUUUACUACUUGCUGACGAGCGGCGGACGGCUGAGUAACGCGUGGGAACGUGCCCCAAAGUGAGGAAUAACUGCCCGAAAGGGUAGCUAAUACCGCAUAUGAUCUUCGGAUUAAAGGAUUUAUCCGCUUUGGGAGCGGCCCGCGUCGGAUUAGGUAGUUGGUGAGGUAAUGGCUCACCAAGCCCACGAUCCGUAGCUGGUCUGAGAGGAUGAUCAGCCAGACUGGAACUGAGACACGGUCCAGACUCCUACGGGAGGCAGCAGUGAGGAAUCUUCCACAAUGGGCGAAAGCCUGAUGGAGCAACGCCGCGUGCAGGAUGAAGGCCUUCGGGUCGUAAACUGCUUUUAUAAGUGAAGAAUAUGACGGUAGCUUAUGAAUAAGCACCGGCUAACUACGUGCCAGCAGCCGCAGUAAAAC